UGGGUUUAUCUGUCUCCCCCAAUUAAAACAUGAGCCCCUUGAAGAUGGGACAGCGUUGGUCUUAUUCACCACUGUGUCUUUGGCAUCUUAAACAGUACUCAGUGCUUUCUCACCUCAGGGCCUUUGCAUCUGCUAUUCCCUCUGCCUGGAAUGAUCUUCCCGCAGACAUCCUUGUGACUCCUCUCCCUCUUCAGGUCUAUUUUCAAAUAUCACACCCGGGAUGAGGCCUCACCAUGCCGUGCACAUGGUUCGGAUCGUAUCCGCCUCUUUGCUACUCUCUAACAGGCAACACAUUUUGCCCAUUUAUCCUAUUUCCGAUUUUCCCUUUCUGAAUGCUGGUUCCAUGACAGCAGGGAUCUAUGUCUGUCUUGUUUACUGCUUGGCCCCAGGGCUCAGGACAGUGGCCAGCACACAGCAGGUGCUCAAUAAGUGUUGCUCAAAUGAAUGAAAGCAAAACCAACUGAUGGUCAUUUCACUGAGUGUUAAGUGCUGUGAAGAAAAUAAAAUGGGAAGCAACAGUUUAGGUGUACUGUGCUCUGUAAUGUAGGGACUAUUAAUGGGAACUCAGACAGUUAAGGAAACUGAGGCACAUAGAGGUCAAGUAACCUGCCCAAGGUCACAAAGCAUGUGGGUGGAGGGGCUGGGAUUCGAGCCCAGGCAAUCCUUGAUGGAAGGUUGCAGUCACAGCUGAUCCUCCUUAAUAUCCUGGUCUGAAGACCUGCUUUGCUGAUGUCUCCCAAAUCUUAGAGCCUAGAAUGGAACGGGGCUGGCCCCUCUCUUUGUAUUAGUGAUUUCACGUUCUUUGGAUAAAUACCCAGUAGUGGGAUAGCUGGAUCAUAUGGUAUUUCUAUUUUGAGUUUUUUGAGAAAUCUCCACACUGUUUUCCAUAGUGGCUGCCCCAGUUUGCAUUCCCACUGGCAGCGUAUGAGGGUUCCCUUCUCUCCACAUCCUUUCCAACGUUUGUUAUUUCUCAUCUUGUUAAUUAUAGCCAUUCUGAGGGGUGUACGGUGACAUGUCAUUGCAGUUUUGAAAAAGCAGAUUCUUAAGCUCCGCAGUCAGAGAUUCUGAGGGAAUAGGAAAAUGAUCAAAAUCAGGAAAUCCACAAACUUUAAUCACAUUUCACAUCAUCCCAUGACUGAUUUUUAUAGCAGAAGAAAAUCUCGGAUCUGCUUGCUGCCUUCAACCAUCCUCUUAAUC
rnacentral:lncRNA from 1 species